rnacentral:rRNA from 1 species
UGAACGCUGGCGGCGUGCCUAAUACAUGCAAGUCGAGCGAACAGACGAGGAGCUUGCUCCUCUGAUGUUAGCGGCGGACGGGUGAGUAACACGUGGAUAACCUACCUAUAAGACUGGGAUAACUUCGGGAAACCGGAGCUAAUACCGGAUAAUAUAUUGAACCGCAUGGUUCAAUAGUGAAAGACGGUUUUGCUGUCACUUAUAGAUGGAUCCGCGCCGCAUUAGCUAGUUGGUAAGGUAACGGCUUACCAAGGCAACGAUGCGUAGCCGACCUGAGAGGGUGAUCGGCCACACUGGAACUGAGACACGGUCCAGACUCCUACGGGAGGCAGCAGUAGGGAAUCUUCCGCAAUGGGCGAAAGCCUGACGGAGCAACGCCGCGUGAGUGAUGAAGGUCUUCGGAUCGUAAAACUCUGUUAUUAGGGAAGAACAAAUGUGUAAGUAACUAUGCACGUCUUGACGGUACCUAAUCAGAAAGCCACGGCUAACUACGUG